rnacentral:rRNA from 1 species
AUUGAACGCUGGCGGAAUGCUUUACACAUGCAAGUCGAACGGCAGCACGGACUUCGGUCUGGUGGCGAGUGGCGAACGGGUGAGUAAUAUAUCGGAACGUAUCCAAUAAUGGGGGAUAACUAAUCGAAAGGUUGGCUAAUACCGCAUACGCCCUACGGGGAAAGCUAGGGACCUUCGGCCUGGCGUUAAUGGAGCGGCUGAUAUCUGAUUAGCUAGUUGGUGAGGUAAAGGCUCACCAAGGCGACGAUCAGUAGCUGGUCUGAGAGGACGACCAGCCACACUGGAACUGAGACACGGUCCAGACUCCUACGGGAGGCAGCAGUUGGGGAAUUUUGGACAAUGGGCGCAAGCCUGAUCCAGCCAUUCCGCGUGAGUGAAG